rnacentral:rRNA from 1 species
AUUGAACGCUGGCGGCAUGCCUUACACAUGCAAGUCGAACGGCAGCACGGGAGCUUGCUCCUGGUGGCGAGUGGCGAACGGGUGAGUAAUACAUCGGAACGUACCCAGUAGUGGGGGAUAACGCACCGAAAGGUGCGCUAAUACCGCAUACGACCUACGGGUGAAAGCGGGGGACCGUAAGGCCUCGCGCUAUUGGAGCGGCCGAUGUCUGAUUAGCUAGUUGGCGGGGUAAAAGCCCACCAAGGCGACGAUCAGUAGCUGGUCUGAGAGGACGAUCAGCCACACUGGGACUGAGACACGGCCCAGACUCCUACGGGAGGUAGCAGUGGGGAAUUUUGGACAAUGGGGGCAACCCUGAUCCAGCAAUGCCGCGUGUGCGAAGAAGGCCUUCGGGUUGUAAAGCACUUUUGUCAGGGAAGAAAUCUUUCAGGUUAAUACCCUUGGAAGGAUGACGGUACCUGAAGAAUAAGCACCGGCUAACUACGUGCCAGCCGCCGCCGUAA